AGUGAACGCUGGCGGCAGGCCUAACACAUGCAAGUCGAACGGCAGCACAGGGGAGCUUGCUCCCUGGGUGGCGAGUGGCGGACGGGUGAGGAAUACAUCGGAAUCUACCCUUUCGUGGGGGAUAACGUAGGGAAACUUACGCUAAUACCGCAUACGAUCUGAGGAUGAAAGCAGGGGACCGCAAGGCCUUGCGCGAUUGGAUGAGCCGAUGUCCGAUUAGCUAGUUGGCGGGGUAAAGGCCCACCAAGGCGACGAUCGGUAGCUGGUCUGAGAGGAUGAUCAGCCACACUGGAACUGAGACACGGUCCAGACUCCUACGGGAGGCAGCAGUGGGGAAUAUUGGACAAUGGGCGCAAGCCUGAUCCAGCCAUGCCGCGUGUGUGAAGAAGGCCUUCGGGUUGUAAAGCACUUUUGUUGGGAAAGAAAUCCUGUCGGCUAAUACCCGGCGGGGAUGACGGUACCCAAAGAAUAAGCACCGGCUAACUUCGUGCCAGCCGCCGCUGUAAUAC
rnacentral:rRNA from 1 species